AAUAGAUACCCGGGUAGUCCUAGCCGUAAACGAUACUCGCUAGGUGUCGGCCACGGUGCGACCGUUGUCGGUGCCGUAGGGAAGCCGUGAAGCGAGCCACCUGGGAAGUACGGCCGCAAGGCUGAAACUUAAAGGAAUUGGCGGGGGAGCACCACAACGGGUGGAGCUUGCGGUUUAAUUGGAUUCAACGCCGGAAAUCUUACCGGGACCGACAGCAAUAUGAAGGCCAGGCUGAAGACUUUGCCGGAUUAGCUGAGAGGUGGUGCAUGGCCGUCGUCAGUUCGUACUGUGAAGCAUCCUGUUAAGUCAGGCAACGAGCGAGACCCACGCCCACAGUUGCCAGCGUACUCUCCGGAGUGACGGGUACACUGUGGGGACCGCCGCUGCUAAAGCGGAGGAAGGAAUGGGCAACGGUAGGUCAGUAUGCCCCGAAUAUCCCGGGCUACACGCGAGCUACAAUGGUUGGUACAAUGGGUAUCUACCCCGAAAGGGACGGAAAUCUCCUAAAGCCAAUCUUAGUUCGGAUUGAGGGCUGCAACUCGCCCUCA
rnacentral:rRNA from 1 species